UGCAGCACACCUCCCUUCUUCAGAGAUGUAUCCGAUCUUUGCGCCUUUCACGGAUUAGCCUCACACUUUGUGGCUAGGUUUCAUCAUCACACCAGAGGAGGAAAAUGAGACUAACAGAAGAAGGGAAUUAGGAAUCCGGAGCUUUCCUUCGAAUUCGGUCCUUGGGAUGAAGGGAAAGUGAGAUAGUGACGGCUUGUGUUGAAAAUAACUGGCCAAUCCCGAGCGCUUCCCUCCACGAUCCCACCCCCACGUUUGCUUUUGGAUCCGUCCAAAUCGACUGCUUGUAAACAGGAGAGAAACCAGCUUUAUCGCCUUCUCAAUGGAACCCCACGUGGAGAGGCGGUGCCCGAAGGACGUAGUAACGCGGGUGGGGGGAAUGGAGCAACCUCCCGUUUCCCGUCUCUGCAGUGCGAUUGGCUAAACUGGGACACGCUAAGGAGAUUCCUUUCAGUAAUUGGUGGCGUGGUUCGUCGCUCCAGGGUGGACUGCGGAUUCCGCUGGUGGUUUAACUUGAUUCCGUUCAAAUGAUAAUUUCUUGACACGUAUAGAACGGCAUGCGUCGGGCUUGUAUUGCCAAUGGCUACAUAAAGCCCUCCAAGGAGGGGCAGCCUUUCCCAACCAGUGUGCCUCCAGAUGUUGUUGGACCACAACUCCCAUUACACUACUGGCUGGCCAACCACAUGCCUAUGGGAAACCCACAAGCAGAAGCUGAGCACAAUAGCCCUCUCCCCUCCUGAAAUUUCUAGCAACUAGUAUUCAGAAGCAUACUGCCUCCGACAGUGGAGGACAAAGCCAUUAGGGGAAAAAUGGAUCGGUAAAAACAGUGGCUAAUGGACAGAGUGAACUCAAAUUGAUACCGGCUUCUUAGGUUGACAGAAUGCUUUUGAACCGGCACUGACCAACGAAUCCCAUCCCUACCUGGCAGACUGGGAACUGGCAAUGUACAACACUGUGGGACAUGCAAUCGUUUCUGGCUCCCCAGCAUGUGAUUUCCUGGCAUGUGUGUGAUUAAAAAAGAAAGAGACACAUAUAAGCUUCAAAUGUUAUUGUUCAAAGAGGCAUACAAUGUUCAUCUGUAAUGUGCACCUGCUCAGAUCUGGUGGACUUCACUCAUUUGUUCCAAGGGCUCCUUGUCUACAUCACGAGUGUGUGUAGCAACCAGCAAAUGUAAUUUAUGUCCUGUGGCAUCUAGGAGUUUCAUUAAUGAAUCAUGUUAAUUUUACCACACCUUGGGGAGGAGGUGUGGUCUAGUUGCUGUUAUGAGAACCGUCUUGGUAGGAGAUCUGUACUGUAAUAUUUGGGCUCUCAACAGUGGGCAUCAUUUUUGUAUGGCUCAUCAUUUCUUCAGCUGCACAUUAGAGAUGACAUCAUCUUUGUCGGAAGAUAUUAUUAGAAGUGUCAUUUAAGGCUCAACCAU